AAUACUUUAGAGAGAACACAGUGGAAACCCGAUGAUUUUUCAAGUUGGACCUUACGGGUUUUCAGUCUUAAGAAAUGGAGUGAUACAGAGAUGUGCCCAAGGCGAGCACAUGACCAUGUAGAGGAGUCAUUCAAAGUCUUGUGAGGCCGUUCUCGCUGAAAAGAAGGACUUCAGGAGCCUGAUCGAGACGGUUCGACGCACUUCGCCCGCCACGCAGAUCAUCGUUUCUGGACCGCUUCCUACCUACCGCCGAGGAAAUGAAAGGUUCAGUAGACUUUUUGCUCUGAAUGAAUGGCUAUUAACAUGGUGUGAAGAACAGAAAUUGCUCUUUGCCAAUAACUGGAAUCUUUUCUGGGAGCGUCCUAGGCUUUUCCGCGCUGAUGGGCUGCACCCCAGUCGAGCUGGAGCUGAACUCCUGUCGGACAACAUCACCAGAAUACUUCGCUCUAUCUGACUAGCCCUCAGACUAUGCAGAGUCACUGAUUCGAUCCAAGACCAACGACGAGAUGAUCCCAAGGUUUUUUAUAUCCUGGACCUGGCCGAAUCCUGAGCAGCUACUGCGAUGGUCAUGGAAGAAUGGAGAACAUGAGACUGUUUCCUAUGACGCUCCAGAGACAGACGAGUCUUCGCUGAGGCCAGCUUCCAGCCUCCGCCACUGAGACUGCAGCUCUGCACAAGACGUUUGGCCAGCGGAGAAAUUAAAAUGGUCGUGCCCAACUGAGCCUGGUUUCUCUCAAGGUUUUUUUUCUUCACUUCCGCCUUUAGUGAAGUUUUUUUUCCCUCUCCGCUGUCGCCACUGGCUUGCAUGUUUCAGGAUCUGUAGAGCUGCGCAUCGUUGGAUUUGCUCUUCAAUAUUUGGACUCUCAGUAGUGAUUAUUAAACCACACUGAACUGAGCUAAACUGAACUGAACUUAAACACUACAAACUUAACUACACUGUUCCUAUUUACUGUGACCUUUUAUGUGAAG